rnacentral:rRNA from 1 species
UACGAAGGGGGCUAGCGUUGCUCGGAAUCACUGGGCGUAAAGCGCACGUAGGCGGAUUGUUAAGUCAGGGGUGAAAUCCUGGAGCUCAACUCCAGAACUGCCUUUGAUACUGGCGAUCUUGAGUCCGGGAGAGGUGAGUGGAACUGCGAGUGUAGAGGUGAAAUUCGUAGAUAUUCGCAAGAACACCAGUGGCGAAGGCGGCUCACUGGCCCGGUACUGACGCUGAGGUGCGAAAAGCGUGGGGAGCAAAC